rnacentral:lncRNA from 1 species
GGGAAACUGUUUGAACAAUCAAGAAAAAGCAAACUAUCUCACAAACUACAAAAAUGCCGAAUGCCCCAUAGCCAAACUGCAUCAGUAUUUUGAUGUAUGGGAGAUAUGUUUUGCUUUCUCUUGUUUGUUGGACCAGUUGCGCCAACUGUGUCCAGUAAAUUGUUCCACGAUUCUUAAUGUUCUUAAAGAGAAAUUUGAAACUCCAACUGAAUAUAAUGCUAUUGGGAAGUCAAGCAUAGAUAUAUUUGUCUCCACUGCUGAUCCUAUGAAAGAACCACCUCUUUACGCUGCAAACAGUAUUUUGUCUAUUUUAGCUACUAGUCACAUUGGAAGGCGCUCAUGCUAUGUUUAUGAUGAUGGAAUUGAAGGAAAUUUAACAGAGAUAGCCCAAAAUCAUAGAUACAAAAUUAUGACAUAUUAUAAAAUAUGUAAAUGUGUACCUUGAUCAGAUGGUACACGUUUACAUAUUUGAUAAUAUGUCAUAAUUUUGUAUCUAUGAUUUUGGGCUAUCUCUGUUAAAUUUCCAUCAAUUGGUAUCAGAGAAGUCAGGAGCGGAGUAGAGGGGCACUUCUAACUAUUGAGGCAAUGUCUAAAGCUUCCAGCUUUGCUGAUGUAUGGGUUCCCUUAUGUUGGAAUUGGAAACAUAGCAAAGAGAUCCUGCAAAAACACAGUGCAGCUAAACUUUGUCAAGGAUUGUAGACAGGCGAUUUGUGAGUUUGAUGAGUUCAAAGUUAGUGUCAAUAGUUUGCUCGACAGUUGACACUAUCUACUUUCACUCAGAUUUCUUAAAUAGAGAGCAUGGUCAACCCAGUUGCGGCUUGGAUCACUAUUAGCUUGAAUAGGGAGACAUACAUGAACAUAAAAAAAAAAUUAAUUUUAAAGUUACAUGAUUACCCUUCGCUUUACAUUGGGGGGGGGGGGGGGGGGUGGGGGAACUAGGGGGGGGGGGGGGGGGGGGGGGGGGGGGUCCAUGGUGUACAAUUCUAAAGCACUCCUUCACAAAUUGUAGUGGGUGGAUUAUAGCAAUCCCCUUCAAGUAUAUGUCGCCUUUAUGUAUGUUACAUUUUCAUUGCUAUGAAUACAACCA